GAUGAACGCUGGCGGCGUGCCUAAUACAUGCAAGUCGAGCGAACGGACGAGAAGCUUGCUUCUCUGAUGUUAUCGGCGGACGGGUGAGUAACACGUGGAUAACCUACCUAUAAGACUGGGAUACCUUCGGGAAACCGUAGCUAAUACCGGAUAAUAUUUUGAACCGCAUGGUUCAAAAGUGAAAGACGGUCUUGCUGUCACUUAUAGAUGGAUCCGCGCUGCAUUAGCUAGUUGGUAAGGUAACGGCUUACCAAGGCAACGAUGGAUAGCCGACCUGAGAGGGUGGUUGGCUACACUGGAACUGAGACACGGUCCAGACACUGACGGGAGGCAGCAGUAGGGAAUCUUCCGCAAUGGGCGAAUGGCUGACGGAGCAACGCGGCGUGAGUGACGAAGGUCUUCGGAUCGGAAAGCUCUGUUAUUAGGGAAGAACAUAUGUGUAAGUAACUGUGCACAUCUUGACGGUACCUAAUCAGAAAGCCACGGCUAACUACGUG
rnacentral:rRNA from 1 species